CAGCUCGUUGGUGGGGUAAGAGCCUACCAAGGCCACGAUCGGUAGCUGGUCUGAGAGGACGAUCAGCCACACUGGGAUUGAGAACGGCCCAGACUCCUACGGGGGGCAGCAGUGAGGAAUUUUCGGCAAUGGGGGCAACCCUGACCGAGCAACGCCGCGUGCAGGAAGAAGGUUUUCGGAUCGUAAACUGCUUUUCCCUGGGACGAGCAAGGACGGUACCAGAGGAAGAAGCCCCGGCUAACUACGUGCCAGCAGCCGCGGUAAUACGUAGGGGGCGAGCGUUGUCCGGAGUUACUGGGCGUAAAGCGCACGCAGGCGGUCGUGUCAGUUUGGGGUUACAGCUCCCGGCUCAACCGGGAGAGCGCCUCGAAGACGGCAGGACUUGAGGGCCAGAGAGGGACACAGAAUUCCGGGUGGAGUGGUGAAAUGCGUAGAUAUCCGGAGGAAUACCAAAGGCGAAGGCAGUGUCCUGGCUGGUACCUGACGCUCACGUGCGAAAGCUAGG
rnacentral:rRNA from 1 species